AGUCCCCGCCCCCGCUGGAUGGGGCCCGACCUCUCCCCAGCGUUCCUCCUCCGGCCCCAGUUCACCGCCAGCACACGCCUGCUUCCCGUCUGCGCGAGUCCACGCAGCUCCCCAGGCCCUUCACCAGCACAGCAGCGGCAGGCAUGGCGGCAAGUGUGGAGCAGCGCGAGGACACCAUCCAGGUGCAGGGCCAGGCCCUCUUCUUCCGAGAGGCCCGGCCCGGCAGUGGGCAGGCUCACUUCUCUGUACUGCUGCUGCAUGGUAUUCGCUUCUCCUCCGAGACCUGGCAGAACCUGGGUACACUGCACAGGCUGGCCCAGGCUGGCUACCGGGCUGUGGCCAUUGACCUGCCAGGUACUUAAAGGGCAGGCUUCUGGGCAGGGGUUGGGGAGGUCUCAUCAGGGACAGGACCAGGUUCCUAUAACAUGUAGCCCCUCCCCACUCCAGGGGUGGGAGCGGUGGGAUCUGGAGGACCCA
rnacentral:sRNA from 1 species